GCCAGUCAGCAGGUCCUAGUUCCUCAUCAUCUCCAAGAUCACCAAAUGCUUCCAGAGCUUUAUUCAACAUCUCAUAUUUUGUGUAGUUCAAUAUGCGCUUCUUUGCUGCUGAUAGCUUAUCCAUUCCCAGAUAAUGUAAAGCAAACUGUGUGGUUGAACCGUUGAUGAUGAGCGUCAAAAAUACAACCCCACCAGUCAAGAAAACAAACAGAGUUCCAGUAUCAGAACUGAUGUAUUGGGAGCCAUCACUGGAACGCUUGACUGACAAUGAAAGGGACAACGCUACAGCACCUCGAAGGCCACCCCAGACAAGAAUAAAAGCCUCUUUCAAGUCCAAACCAUAGCCAAAGUAUCGUAAAAAUGGAUACAAUACACCAACUACAACGGCCCGUGAGACAAGGAUAAGCACAUAAAGAAGGAUGAGGUAGCCCCACGAAUUAUCAUAGAUUUUGAAAAUAUUGUCACCAGCAAGAAUUCCUUCAGCUAUAACGACUCCACUUAAAAUAAAAAUUAAUGUAUUUGCAAUGUAGGAAACCAUUUCCCAGAAGUGAUGCAAGCUUUGAUGACUCUCGCCCUUGAAAGCAGUUUUAGCUACAGCUGAGUAGAACAUCCCUAAAGUCAUCACAGUCAAGACACCAGAGACAUCAGCCCCUUGUUGUGCUGUGAAGUAAGCAACAUAGCUCACAGCAAGUGUCAGGCUGAUCUCAAUCACCGUGUCAUUGAAAAUGAAUCCCAGCCAUAAAACAGAAGCUAUUCCAAAAGCAAUUCCAAAGCCAACUGCCCCAAGGGAAACUUGUACUAGAAAUUUGAUGACAGCUCCCCAGUUAAAGGUCCAACCAGUUACCAUCCUUAAAAGUAGCUGAUAGACA
rnacentral:misc_RNA from 1 species